rnacentral:rRNA from 1 species
GACGAACGCUGGCGGCGUGCUUAACACAUGCAAGUCGAACGGAAAGGCCCUGCUUUUGUGGGGUGCUCGAGUGGCGAACGGGUGAGUAACACGUGAGUAACCUGCCCUUGACUUUGGGAUAACUUCAGGAAACUGGGGCUAAUACCGGAUAGGAGCUCCUGCUGCAGGGUGGGGGUUGGAAAGUUUCGGCGGUUGGGGAUGGACUCGCGGCUUAUCAGCUUGUUGGUGGGGUAGUGGCUUACCAAGGCUUUGACGGGUAGCCGGCCUGAGAGGGUGACCGGCCACAUUGGGACUGAGAUACGGCCCAGACUCCUACGGGAGGCAGCAGUGGGGAAUAUUGCACAAUGGGAGGAAGCCUGAUGCAGCAACGCCGCGUGCGGGAUGACGGCCUUCGGGUUGUAAACCGCUUUCGCCUGUGACGAAGCGUGAGUGACGGUAAUGGGUAAAGAAGCACCGGCUAACUACGUG